GUUGGGAAUAUUGGACAAUGGGGGAACCCCUGAUCCAGCAAUCCCGCGUGAGUGAUGAAGGCCUUCGGGUCGUAAAGCUCUUUUAGUAGGGACGAAGGGAAACUUGACGGUACCUACAGAAAAAGCACCGGCUAACUCUGUGCCAGCAGCCGCGGUAAUACAGAGGGUGCAAGCGUUGUUCGGAAUCAUUGGGCGUAAAGCGCGUGUAGGUGGCUCUUUAAGUCUGGUGUGAAAUCCCGGGGCUCAACCCCGGAAGUGCACUGGAUACUGGAGAGCUAGAGGGCGAGAGAGGAGAUUGGAAUUCAUGGUGUAGGGGUGAAAUCCGUAGAUAUCAUGAGGAACAUCUGUGGCGAAGGCGAAUCUCUGGCUCGUUUCUGACACUGAGACGCGAAAGCGUGGGGAGCAAACAGGAUUAGAAACCCUAGUAGUCC
rnacentral:rRNA from 1 species